rnacentral:rRNA from 1 species
CAGCGACGCCGCGUGGAGGAAGAAGUCCUUCGGGAUGUAAACUUCUGAACUAGCCGAAUAAAAGGCCUGUGGACACACAGGAGAAGAAAGUAGGCUAGGAAAAGUCCCGGCUAACUACGUGCCAGCAGCCGCGGUAAUGA